rnacentral:rRNA from 1 species
AGAGUUUGAUCCUGGCUCAGGACAAACGCUGGCGGCGUGCCUAACACAUGCAAGUCGAACGGGGUGACGGUUUCGGCCGUGACCGAGUGGCGGACGGGUGAGUAACACGUGGAUGACGUACCCUGGUGUGGGGGAUACCCUCCAGAAAUGGAGGCUAAUACCGCAUACGGUCUGGUGGAUCAAGCCAUCAGAAGAAAGCC